CCAAUCGCAAUUCUCUUCUGUACCCUUAUAAAACUUUAAUAAAAAUUGUCAAAGUAAAAAAAAAAAACAAAGGUGUUCCUUUGAUGUAAUCUACAAAGAUAUCCAUGUUUUAUGCAUCUCCUAAAGGCACCAAAACUCCCACAAUAUCUAGAAUCUUUUAUUUCUUUAGCCUUAGCCUCAGUGGGAAGUGUAAAAAUUAUAAACUUUGUUGGGAU